rnacentral:siRNA from 1 species
CAAACUUCGGUUUCAUUCCCGUGC